rnacentral:rRNA from 1 species
AUUGAACGCUGGCGGCAGGCCUAACACAUGCAAGUCGAGCGAGUGGCGGACGGGUGAGUAAUGUCUGGGAAACUGCCUGAUGGAGGGGGAUAACUACUGGAAACGGUAGCUAAUACCGCAUACCAUCGGAUGUGCCCCGAUGUGAUGAGCUUGUAGGUGGGGUAACGGCUCACCUAGGCGACGAUCCCUAGCUGGUCUGAGAGGAUGACCAGCCACACUGGAACUGAGACACGGUCCAGACUCCUACGGGAGGAAGCAGUGGGGAAUAUUGCACAAUGGGCGCAAGCCUGAGGCAGCCAUGCCGCGUGUGGGAAGAAGGCCUUCGGGUUGUAAAGGACUUUCAGCGGGGAGGCGUUACCCGCAGAAGAAGCACCGGCUAACUCCGUGCCAGCAGCCGCGGUAAUAC